rnacentral:rRNA from 1 species
UACGGAGGGAGCUAGCGUUAUUCGGAAUUACUGGGCGUAAAGCGCACGUAGGCGGCUUUGUAAGUUAGAGGUGAAAGCCUGGAGCUCAACUCCAGAAUUGCCUUUAAGACUGCAUCGCUUGAAUCCAGGAGAGGUGAGUGGAAUUCCGAGUGUAGAGGUGAAAUUCGUAGAUAUUCGGAAGAACACCAGUGGCGAAGGCGGCAUCCUGGACUGGUCCUGACACUCAGGAGCGAAAGCGUGGGGAGCGAUCCGG